UUGAACGCUGGCGGCCGGCCUAACACAUGCAAGUCGCGCGGAUGAAGGGAGCUUGCUCCUGGAUUCAGCGGCGGACGGGUGAGUAAUGCCUAGGAAUCUGCCUGGUAGUGGGGGAUAACGUCCGGAAACGGGCGCUAAUACCGCAUACGUCCUGAGGGAGAAAGUGGGGGAUCUUCGGACCUCACGCUAUCAGAUGAGCCUAGGUCGGAUUAGCUAGUUGGUGGGGUAAAGGCCUACCAAGGCGACGAUCCGUAACUGGUCUGAGAGGAUGAUCAGUCACACUGGAACUGAGACACGGUCCAGACUCCUACGGGAGGCAGCAGUGGGGAAUAUUGGACAAAGGGCGAAAGCCUGAUCCAGCCAUGCCGCGUGUGUGAAGAAGGUCUUCGGAUUGUAAAGCACUUUAAGUUGGGAGGAAGGGCAGUAAGUUAAUACCUUGCUGUUUUGACGUUACCAACAGAAUAAGCGCCGGCUAACUUCGUG
rnacentral:rRNA from 1 species